AUUGAACGCUGGCGGCAGGCCUAACACAUGCAAGUCGAGCGGAGCGGCGGACGGGUGAGUAAUGCCUAGGAAUCUGCCUGGUAGUGGGGGAUAACGUCCGGAAACGGGCGCUAAUACCGCAUACUAUCAGAUGAGCCUAGGUCGGAUUAGCUAGUUGGUGGGGUAAAGGCCUACCAAGGCGACGAUCCGUAACUGGUAUGAGAGGAGGAUCAGUCACACUGGAACUGAGACACGGUCCAGACGCCGACGGGAGUCAGCAGUGGGGAAUAUUGGACAAUGGGCUAAAGCCGGAUCCAGCCAUGCCGCGUGUGUGAAGAAGGCCUUCGGGUUGUAAAGCACUUUCAGCGGGGAGGCGUUACCCGCAGAAGAAGCACCGGCUAACUCCGUGCCAGCAGCCGCGGUAAUAC
rnacentral:rRNA from 1 species